rnacentral:rRNA from 1 species
UACAGAGGUGGCAAGCGUUGUUCGGAAUUACUGGGCGUAAAGGGCGCGUAGGCGGCCUUCUAAGUCAGACGUGAAAUCCCCCGGCUUAACCUGGGAACUGCGUCUGAUACUGGGAGGCUUGAGUAUGGGAGAGGGAUGUAGAAUUCCAGGUGUAGCGGUGAAAUGCGUAGAUAUCUGGAGGAAUACCGGUGGCGAAGGCGCACACCUGGCCCGAUACUGACGCUGAGGCGCGAAAGCUAGGGGAGCAAACGGG